rnacentral:lncRNA from 1 species
GUCCCACCUCAAUAUCACAUCGGCAAGGCCUUCAAAUUGUUAUUAUAUUCUAUCGUUGUUUCUGUCAAGAGCUACUUUAUCGUUAUGGACAUGUUUUUUAUCCUUGGAACCCUGUCCCCAUUAUUUGGUAUUCAGAGCCUCAAGUAUACUGUCAAGUUCAGAUUUACCAUAGUUUAGUUGAUUUUGCUUCGUCCCAUAUUCCACCACCAUAUUUGUUUCCUGACCUACAACCAUCCACGCCAUAGCCUUGCAUAUUUCAGUUAUAGAGUCCGCUGUAUUGAAUUUGUGUCCUAGGUCAAGGACUUGUUGUUGGUUUAGAUUGUUUUAUUUUCUAGUUUGUGUUGAUCUAUCCACCCGGCGCCAUCCCGUAUCACAAUCCUUCCAUCUUGUGUCCAUUAAAACCCUUAUUCGAGCAGUUUCUUUAAAACUGUCAUAACUUUUACGUCCGAACUCGAAAUAGGGCAAAUUUUAUAUCCAUGGAGAACGCCAGAAAAUUUUAGAUCUGCUUUAUCCCAGCAUAGCUAGGUUCGUAAAAAUGAGUUUUGUGAAAUUCGAUCAGGAAAAUCGAGUUUCCAGGCCUACAAGUUUUGGUAAGCUUUUUGGAGCACAAUUCUAAUUUUCUAUAGGCCACAUAUUUUAUCCAAUUGAGCUCAAAUUUUUUGUGGUUUGUCCUCGUCUGCUUCUUGCUGAGGCAAAAAUAUCAAAGAGCAAAAGCAAGAAAAAAAAGUUUGGACAAAAAAAGAAAAAGAAAAAAUAGUAAAAGAAAAGAAAAGAGAUAAAAAAAGGAGCACACAGGGAAUACUCAAUAGCUCUAUUAUUUAUGGUGCCUUUUGCCUUGUCCAUGUUUCCGUUGCUACCUUUCAUACUUGUUUCUAUUCAUACUUAUUAUACUCCCUUGUUUAUCAGAACUGGUGCUAGAAACACGUAUAGGCCAGCAACUAGGACAAGUGCUCUGGAUAUUUAUUCAAUAUUGCUACCUCUUACUGACUUGUGUGCCACAUAUACAUAUUUAUUCUUUUGUGUGCCUCCUAAGCUCCACAUAUACUACAGAUCAGUACACAAAAAGAACCUUGCAAUCUUGGGCUACGCCUUCUAGGUAUCCUUUGUCUUGAUAGUAAGAACCUUGUAAGCACUUGAUAAGGUGUUUCCUAUGUUGUGAUCUUGAGGGGCACCACUCCACCUGCGUAGUUGAAUUAUUUUGGAUAAUCUUCACUAUUUGUUUUUGUGUUUCGUGUUUGCAAUGGCAAAUUAUAACACCCAUCAAUAUGAGACAUCAAUGAUGCAUGAGACUCACACUAUUGCUGCUACACCAUC